ACUCAAAUGAAUAGACGGGGACCCGCACAACUGGUGGAGCGUGUGGUUUAAUUCGAGACAAAGCGAAGCACCUUACCAGGGCUUGACAUGCUACCGUUUUAUACCUAUGGAAACACUGGUAGAUCCGCAAGGAUGGUAGCACAGGUGAUGCAUGGCUGUCGUCAGUUCGUGCCGUGAGGUGUUCCCUUAAGUGGGGAAACGAACGCAACCCGCAUCUAAUGUUAAAUAUUCAUUAGGAACAGCCUCGAUCAUAUCGGGGAGGAAGGCGCGGAAGACGUCAAGUCAGCACGUCCCUUAUGCCCUGGGUUACACACACCCUACAAUGGCGAAAAACAGCGAGCAGCAAGCCGGCAACGGCAAGCAAAUCUCUUAAAUUUCGCCUCAGUUCAGAUUGGGGGCUGCAACCCGCCCCCAUGAAGGAGGAAUCAGUAGUAAUCGCGGAUCAGCAGGCCGCGGUGAAUACGUUCUCGGGUCUUGUACACACCGCCCGU
rnacentral:rRNA from 1 species